rnacentral:rRNA from 1 species
GGCUCAGGAUGAACGCUAGCUACAGGCUUAACACAUGCAAGUCGCGGGGCAGCAUUCACUUAGCUUGCUAAGUGAGAUGGCGACCGGCGCACGGGUGAGUAACGCGUAUCCAACCUACCCUUGUCCAUCGGAUAACCCGUCGAAAGGCGGCCUAACACGAUAUGCGGUUCUCAGCAGGCAUCUAACGAGAACGAAAUGUGAAGGAGAAGGAUGGGGAUGCGUCUGAUUAGCUUGUUGGCGGGGUAACGGCCCACCAAGGCGACGAUCAGUAGGGGUUCUGAGAGGAAGGUCCCCCACAUUGGAACUGAGACACGGUCCAAACUCCUACGGGAGGCAGCAGUGAGGAAUAUUGGUCAAUGGACGGGAGUCUGAACCAGCCAAGUAGCGUGCAGGAUGACGGCCCUAUGGGUUGUAAACUGCUUUUAUAGGGGGAUAAAGUGUGCCACGUGUGGCAUAUUGCAGGUACCCUAUGAAUAAGGACCGGCUAAUUCCGUG